GACAGAGGGUGCAAACGUUGUUCGGAAUUACUGGGCGUAAAGCGUGUGUAGGCGGCCAUUCAAGUCGGAUGUGAAAGCCCCGGGCUCAACCCGGGAAGUGCACCCGAAACUGGAUGGCUUGAGUAUCGGAGAGGUUGGUGGAAUUCUCGGUGUAGGAGGUGAAAUUCGUAGAUAUCGAGAGGAACACCGGUGGCGAAGGCGGCCAACUGGACGAAUACUGACGCUGAGACACGAAAGCGUGGGGAGCAAACAG
rnacentral:rRNA from 1 species